GUCUGAGUGCAUCAGCAUCACUGGUGCUCAGCUUAGGUGCAGGCCAGAGGAUUCCCAGCCCUGCUGUUUGGGGACAUCCCCGCAGUCCCUGCUCUAAGCCACGGACGCCCUGCGAGAGGCAGCGAGCCCUUACCUCAGGCAUUGUGUGUGGGGAGGCCUUUUGGAGCCUCCUGCUUGCAUGAUGAAGAAAUGGUCGGUGCACGAUGCUGUAACACGUAGUCAAGCUCCUCUGAGCGCACAGGCUUGAGUGCAGCUUGCUGCUCUUGCCCUGGGAUUUUCCCCGGAAUUCCAGCACAAAGCGCCCCCGGCAGGGGUCACCCUGCCCCGCGGAACUCUCUCCCGGCGCCGCUCCCCGGGAGGUGCUGGAUCUGUUCUUCCUCUCUGGCAGUUGAAGCGUAAGACUUGUUUUGCUUUGGAGGAAAGUGGGAAAAGAAAAUGAAUAAGGUACCACAGGCAGUCACUGAGGAGGAGGGACUGGAGACAGGAAAUUGCCUCCUUUAUCUGUGCCUGAAGCUGGUCCUGAUUCAAGGUGUGAAGGCAGAAGAUGUCAACAUGUGACAG
rnacentral:lncRNA from 1 species